rnacentral:lncRNA from 1 species
GUCUGUCCCAGGAAGGUCAGCAGAAGCGGCUGCAGAGCUGCAGGAUGGCUGGCCUGGUUGACCUUGCUUCGGGGUACAGGCACAAUGAGAAGUAAAAGGGGCCAAUUUGGGAUGUAGCUGGCCCAGAGGAAGCUCUUAAUAAAUGGCAGUCACCAUGAUCCUACCACGUGGUGUGUUUUUGAGGGUCUUGUGUUGUUUGCGACAGCCAAUGUAUUAGUCGUAGUUCACUCUUUCCAUAGGUUCUUCUGUAUCUGCUGAAUAUUAGAAUUUAUUUACUUCUAGUAGGAGAGAAAAAUGAAAAUGGCAAAUCAGAUGGAAAAAUAGAGCUAUUUUCAGAGUAAAUUGAGCUCAGGAAGGAUUGCAGAGGUGUGAUGAAUCAGAGCUCACACAGUCACCUGGGGACACUUAAACGAUUUAAGGACCUGAAAGUACAGAACAGGUGGAUGAUUCAUGGAGGAAAAUCCCUGGGGAGAGGGAAGGGCUAUUUGGGGGGAUUUAAGGGGGAGGGGCUUUAGUUGCAGUUCCAGAAAAGGGCAGCAGCUGGGACCUUUUCCUCUUCCAGGCUCCUUACUCUCCAAAAAUACCUUGGCCUGAAGUCACUUGAGAGAGUUCUGCAACUGUUUUGUUCUCCUUUCUGGAGCAUCUUUGAGGAUAAGAUGUGCAACCUUUUCAUCUUUGUGGGAGACAAGCUUAGCCCAGCCUCUGCGUACAGGAAUCCUAUGUCUUAAAUAUUUGAUCAAAGGAAGAAAUGAAGAAAAUGCAGAAGAGAGGAGGGAGCAAGGCCAAGUACAGGCAGCACGAGUGUGGGUGGUCAUGGGGGACAGUGGCAGACAUGGGAGACAUUGAGUUUCAUCACGCUUAGUGACGUUUUGUUGUACCCUUGAACUGUGUGUGCCACACUGUUGAGAGUGGCGUGUAGCUGAUGUGGAUUAAGACUGCCCCAGCUAGAGAAGCCCAAGGUGACCUGGCCUACGUGCCAAACUAUAUGACCCAGUGGAUUUUUUUAUGGUAUGAAUUAGGGCUGCCCCAGGGAGAGAAGCCCAGGGCAUCCUCACCUACAUGCCGAUCUAUAUGGCCAGAUUCGUAUCUAAAAGUUAUAUGACUGCACAAUAACCAGACCCCAUCUGCACUGAAAUCAUUUAAUGACUUUUUACAUCAUCUUUUCUUUUUCCGGUAAAAAUAAGUCACGUACCCAUGCCUUAUAAAAUUAGCCCUAACCCUCAACUCAGGGCAGCAGCAGCAGCUCUGACUGCCCAUGGGUCCUGUCCCCAUGCAGCAGCAGCAGCAGCUCUGACUGCCCAUGGGUCCUGUCCCCAUGCAGCAGCAGCAGAAGCUCUGACUGCCCAUGGGUCCUGUCCCCAUGCUAUUCCACACUAUUCUCUAAAUAAAAAGAGCACUACUGCC